rnacentral:lncRNA from 1 species
UUGACAUUUCUAAUUAAUGCUUAUGUUUAGGUAAAUAAAGUUUGUGAAAGACCUCUGCGACUGGCUGAUUGACCCCUGCUGGAAGCCGAGGCUACCUUGUCCACAGACGGGAACAGUUCUCUUCAUGAAGGUCAGAGAUAAGUGGGUGCUGCCAUGGUGGACAACACAAUGUCAUCUAGGAUGGCUGAACCUCAACCCCCCAGUACAUCAGUGCCGCAGAUGCCUUUGCCAUCUCUUGGAUGCCCUGAUGAAGCCAACAACUGUGAGUACUAUUCAUUGCUCAGGAUAUCAGGAGGGAAGAGAUUCAGUGACAUGGGGCAAUAACGAAGCAGAUCAAGUGGCUCGAAAAAUGGUUAUGCAGGAGCCCAUCCUGGUUGCAGGCCUGCAAGAGACAGCCACUGAGAACUAGGAUUGGACUAAGGGAUGGCCUCACUUAGAAAAGGCCCAAAUUGCUUAAAAGAUAAAGGACAAUGGCACACUUGAGGGGAAAGCUAUACUCCCCAGA